ensembl:lncRNA
GUGCUUAAGUUUUGUUAUUGAUUCCAUGUAUUCAUGUGUGUACAAUGGUCAGGAUCAUACAUCAACUUCACAGAGGUACAGGUGCCAAGAUUGUUUGAAGUACAUUAUUUUUGGGUAUGUCUGACAGUGUUUCUGGUGACUAAUGCUGGUUGAGUAUUGGCUUUUUUUUUUUUUAAAUAAAAAAGGCUAUACAGAAAGUAAUGUGUUUCAUUAUGACAUUUUCAUAUAUAUAUGUCAGUAUAUUUUGUUCUUAUUUUUGCCCUCUGCUCAAGGACUAGCUCUUGAGCUGGUAGACAGAAUGAAGAUGAUCUGCCUCAGGGAUGUGGGAGACUCAUCCUAUGUGUUGAGGGAAAUUUUGAAUAAAACAUAAAGGAAAAUGGUAAAUUCAACUUCUUCAUCCAGCUUAGGACACAGCAUUCCUAGUCGUUGGGCUUUCAGACUGAGGCUUGCAUUCACACAAUCAUCUUGUUAGGUCCUCAGGCCUUCACACUUGGGCUUAUUUCCACCACCAUCUUGGGCCUGGUGUUCAAUUCCCAGGGUCUCCAGUUGUCAGUGAUAGGUGGUGAGAUUUCCUAAGCACAUGAGACAAAACCUGAAGUAAAUAUUUCCUUCCCUGUUAUAUAACACAUAAUAUAUACAUGCAUGUAUGAAUACAUGUGUGUUAUAUAUGUAUAUACAUGCACUGAUAUGCACAUGUACAUACAUUCAUUUUUUAAUUUUUUUUUAUUUUUUGGUUUUUUGAGACAGGGUUUCUCUGUGUAGCUUUGGAGCCUAUCCUGGCACUCACUCUGCCUCCCGAGUGCUGCGAUUAAAGGCGUGUGCCACCAACGUCCGGCCAUUCAUGUCAUAUUAAGGUAUGAAUAUACACAUAUAUUCAUGUUUCGUUGAUGUAUAUGACAUAGUGAAACGUAUUCUGCUGAUUAAAGUGUAUUGAGAUAUCAAAACCAUUGAUCUUACAGUUGUUGCAAAAGCACAUUCAGUGACUUAUUUUUCCAUGUUUCAGGUUUAUUUGUACAAAUAGUACUAGAGGACAUCAGCCCCAUGUGUACCUCACAAGCCAGGAGUUAUAAAAGUCCUUCUGUCCUCACCUUGAUUCUCUUCUCCAGCCCAGAACUUCAAUAUAGCAAACAGAAGAUUCGGGGCCUUGGACUCUGGGUGGAUCCGUCCCAACUUGUUCCUCAGCUCCAGCACUUCAUCAACAACUGAACCUCGGAGGAGAACCCCAGUGGCCAGCACAGAAGUGGUACCAGUGACUCUGUGGACAGAACUGGAGCAUUAGCUGACAGUCUGCUGAGGGUCGCUGGCUUCAUCUCAAAUGUACUUAUACUUACCCAAGUUAACAUGCCAUAUAUUGUACCUUCUUAGAGCUAUGAUGUACAAUUCUAAGGGAUGCUAUAAUAACUACAGGCCAUGACCCUGCCAUUACUGAGAUGCUACAAUGGAAAUGAACACAGUAACCGACUAGUCUGUAAAAAAAAAAAAAAAAAGUCGCAUACAACAGUGGUUUUCAUUCCUUUGGUUCAUUGCUAUGCAGCCAGUGCUGAGACACAUUCUGGGUACCCAGCAAAUAUUUGCUAAUUGAAUGAUUACUUUGUUAAAGCAUCUCACUUAUCAGCAAGAUAAAUUAAAAGCCCAUUCAUUUAAAAAGGAACUCUCAGUGUAUUUUCAAUCUUUCCCCCUUAGUCAAGAUCUACUCAGAGAAAUCUACCCACACUGUGUUUAAAUAACCAAUGUCUUUACUUAACUUGCCUGAGGAGAAAGAAAACACUAUCAAUAUACCCUGGAAGAUUCUGCAGGACAUCCAUUCUGCAGAUGAAAUGAAAAAUUCAAUCCCUGAGAAAAUAUUUUAAUAUCAUUCAGCAAAUGAGACUUUUCUCAAAGACUGUCAAAAGCAUUGUAUUUUGCUAUAUUGAUUAAUUUUCUGCAGAGAUUAGUGUGUGUGUGUGUGUGUGUGUGUGUGUGUGUGUGUGUGUGUGUGUGUGUUGUAUAUCAUCAAAGAGCCAAGAAAUAUUUCGUGACUAUGUAUCAGUACCAUGUGGAUGUUCUGAGUCAUAUUUAUAUCUAUGAUGAGUAGUGACAUUUCAUCAAGGGCAUAAGAACAUGGUACUAUUCAUCCUAGGUUUUAUGAGUUUAAGGGUCUGGAAAAUUGCAAGCAGUACCUAUGUCUAGGGAAGCCCCAAGGGCUCAGAAAAGCUGUGUGUGUGGGGUAGGGAGCUGUGAUAUUUCCCAGAUUUCUAACUCUUGAUAAAAUGACAAAUCUGAGUUUGUAGGGAAAGAUGUUAUGAGUUUACUUUUAGACUGUAAUCCCAGAAUUUGUGAGGCUGAUUGAGGAGGACCUUGACUUCAAGGCAGCCUGAGUGACAUAGGGAGACCCUGUCUGUGUUUUCCUUGUGUGAGCAUUGACCUGAAUUUGGAGUAUGUAUGUAUGUAUGUAUGUACGUACAUACUUACAUAUAUAUGCAUCUCACGGGCACCUAGAAGGUAAUAUGACUGUAGCUCAGAAUUUUAGUUUUAAACCAUCACCAAAUAUAGAUGUUUCUCAACUUAUAAGAGGUCUGACCUUCACAAACCCAUCACAAGUGGAAAUACUGUAUCCUAAAAUGCAUUUGAUAUACCUAUCCUAGGGAAAGUUAUAGUUUAGCAGCUGGUACAUUGCAGAGUGUGGGCUGUUUCACCUGGUGAUCUUGUGGCUGCCUAGGACAUGAGGAUGUCUGCCAUUGCUCAACAAGUAUUACACAGCAUAGUGCUAGCCCAGUAAAAGACCAACACUCAAAAUUUCCACUGAAUCCUUGUUGCUUUUGUACUACUACAUAACUGGAAAAUUGUAAGUAGAAUGCUUGUUAAGUAGAGGACCAUCUGUAGUGAUAUCUGGGGCUUUGGGCGUGGAUGAAAGCACCCAAAGAUAAAGAGCAUAUAAAAUGAGAAAAUAAGAGGGUUGAAGAUAGAAUGCUUGGAAACACCAUAAUUUAGGGGGCUGGCAGAAAAAGAGAAGCCAGCCAAGAAAUGGAACAGGACAGAAAGAUAUCACAUAAGCCCAGAGGGGGAUGGGAAGUACAGUCUGCUCAUGAAACGGUUAGCAGAUGAAGAUUGGAAAUAGCACAUUUGAAAAAUUACUAAUUGGAAGCACAUACAAAUAUUGGUAUACCUAUUCUGAGGGUAAAAUUUUAGGUUUCCCUCCCCGUGUGUGUGUGUGUGUGUGUGUGUGUGUGUGUGUGUGUGUGUACAUUCAUGCACAUGGUGGGGGCUGGAUUUCAUGUCCUUGCUCAUAUUAAGAAAAUAGUAACAGCUGAGCUAUAUCUUCAACCUUGUUUCUUUGAGUCAAGGUCUCCCUAUGUAGCCCAGGCUUGCCUAGAACUCAGGAUCAACCUCCCUCAGCCUCACACAUGCUGGGAUCACAGUUGUGUGCUACCAUGCUCAGCAAUUCUAUUUUCUUUCAGCUACUCUGUAUUUUCUGACUUUCCUAUAAUGGUAAUCAGUUACAUUUGUAUUAAAAUGUUAUUAUAAGGGUCCAGGUUGAUGGCUCAACAGUUAAAAGAAUACUCACCACUCUUGUAGAGGAACCAGGUUCAGUUUCUGAACUCCAAAUGCAGAUCCACAACCAUUCAUAUUCCUGUUCCAGGAGUUCUGAUGUCUUCUUUUGACUUCUGUGGGAUCUAGGCACAUACACAAUGCACAUAUAUACACCCAGGCAAAACACUCAUACACAUAAAAUAAUCUUUUAAAAUGUUAUUAAAGUAUAAAACAAAUGCUCUGAGAAAGUCUACACUAUUCCUACAGAACUUAGAGAAAGAAGCAGGGAAUUGUGAAUUCAAACAUACUUGAUCAUGUAUGUGCUAGGCACCAAGCUAAUGAUAAACAAGGAAUGUGAGGAAUACUCUGAUGUUCUAUAAAAAAAAAAAGGAAGCCAGCUGGCUUAGCAAGGGAUCGAUGCAGGUCUUUUAGGGUGCACUGGCAGCACAUGAGGUUAGAUGGCAGUCUGCCACCACAUUAAAUUGACUUUAUAUGUCCUAUAACUAAUAUGGCCUCUAUUCUGAAAGCUCCAGAUGGGUUUCUGAGGGGCAGAGAGAGGAGUAGAAUUGAGCUUUAAGUGAGGUAAGUUUCUGCUUAACUUUGAUAACAAUGUGUCUACUGGCCCAGAGGAACCCAAGGAAGGAGAUUGGGCAGGGUUCUCAGGAACUGCAAUGAUUUAAGGGAGUGCUCUAGGGAUGCCCUUUAUCCAGAGAAACUGGGGAAUUGCACAGACAUGUAUGGGACAUGAUUGAUUGUGACUGGAUGCAUACUGAUACAACCAAUUGGAUGGAUGUUGUGGGAAGGAAGGUAUCAAGGACAACUGCAAAAACCGAAACAGCCCAAGAAAACAUUUUGUUGCUUAUCAAACCACAAUACUUACAAUGGGACAUUGCUCUUUCUCAAACAGUGAGAUGGAGCUGUACUCAGAGCAGGCAGGUCCAGUUCCCGAUGGAGCAUCUCAAGAAGACUCAUGGAUGGGAGGCCAAUCAUCAGAAGCACACAGUUGGGACACUUUCUGUACCCAGCAAUGGGUGUUCCAGGCCAGCCUCUGUGCAUGGCCAUAAGUCAUUAGGAUUUGUGAGUAUGUCCUGUCUAGAUUCCCCGAGUUUUCACCACUGAGGCAACUAUUGUCAUGGAUACCAGGGUGACACUGGUUGGCCCCACCAGAUCUCAUUGUUUCUUUCUCACCUUGGGCCUACACUUAAAGGAUGGUGAACUGACACUGGAAUGAACCAGAAGUUCAGACACACACCUUUCUUCCCUUCCUCUCCCUGUUCUAGGGAAGACAAUCAUCUGGGUACGGAUUAAAAUCAACAGAUACAGACAGCACAUGCCUAUAAUUCCAGGACUCAAGAGCUAAGGCAGGAACAUCUUUUGUUCCAGGACUACUUGGGCUACAGUUCUGGCUAGCCUGGAAGAUCCUGUGUAAAACCAGACAGAGACAUGAACAAACAAACGAACAAAUGAGCAAAAAUAAAAUGAGCAGAUCAGCCUCAAAGAAAACAACAAUAAGAAGGGGCUGUGGAGAUGACUUGGUGGGGAAGAGUGCUUGCCUUGAAAGCAUGGGGAAUUGAGUUCAAAUCCCAAUACUCACUUGAAAAGCUGGGCUAUGUGCCCACCUAAUUCCAGUGCUGUGACUAGCAGAGACAUGAAGACUGUUGGAGCAGCUGGCUGCCAGUCUAGUUCUAGAUUCAGUGAGAAACCUUGUCUUAAAGCAGUACUGUAGAGAAUGACAGAGCAGGGCACUCUGGCCUCUGUGAGUACAUGACUCGCAAGCACGCGCGUGCGCGCACGCACACAUACACACACACACACACACACACACACACACACACACACACACAAACACACACCACAUGUACUCAUGCACACAAAAAGUAUGCAAGAAAAGAAUGGCUGGUGGUUAUGAGGUUUUUAACUUAGGUGCCUAGUUGAUAAAGAGGGACAACUAUCUCAAAGUUUGUAUACUCUCAUGGUUAUUGAUGUAUAUAAAAUAUGAAAGCAAGGUUUGUACAGUGUUAUUAGGGGAGGAAUAAAGGACAAUGUGUGCCUGAGGGAAAUCUAUUUUUAAGACAAGACAGAGUCCUUAAUCUCACCUAUUUCCUUCCGCAAGUACAUGGGUACACUUCCUUUUCCUGUCUGUGGAAUGACAAACAGGAGGUAGAAUUAGCUUUCAGAUGUGUACACAUAGGUAGUUACAAUCUCCUAGGAUGGGACCUUCUCUAAUGGCUAGAGAAGGACUAUGAAACUGUAAGCCAAGAAAGAAACAGGUGUAACUAAAUGCAACAAAAUACUUUUAAAGUUAAAAGGCCAAAGAGGAGGUUCCAAGUGAGCUGGCCCAGUAGAGCUAAUAGGCAAUAGCUGCUGCACCUGUCAUAGGUACCCGGCCUUCUUCUUGAAUUCUUUAUCAUCUCCACUGUACAGCGUGGAGGACAGCGGCCAAGGAUGUCCAGCUAAUAAGGGGUCAAAUUUGAACUCGGCUAUAAGUAAUUUGCAGUAUUAGCUUUCCCUCCAGGGCCAGCCACAACCAAGACAUUUUAAGUUAAGUAAUACACAGCCUUGCCCAUCUCAUCUUGCAAAGAAUGGAACAUGAAAGUAGCCUUGGAGAGUGACUUACUUGGGGAAGGCCUUUCUAAUCAUCCUAGCUCCCACACAGAGUGCCAGGCUGCCCCUUCACCACUCACCCCCAGUAGAAGAUCCAAUAAAGUAGAGAGGCAAGUAAUGCUCUCUUUUCAGCUGACUUCGUUCCUAACAUUCCUUUGCAACGGGCGACUCUCCAAGAUAAGUUUCUGUGUGCAGCCUGAGCACAGAGGUUCUGAACAGUUAACACACAGGUCAGAAAGGGUCCCCAGGCUUCCCAGCCUCCCUCUGGUCCUUCCCACCUUCAGGUAGGAUGCAGAGACAGGUACCUCCUUCCUUCCCCAUGGCCACUAGCUGGUGGCCAGAUCCCAAGCCUGCGCCUGGCCCGCCACUUCUGGAGCCCCCUCUCCAGCGUGGCCACGGUGAAAAGCGAGCGACCCUCGGCGCGAGCCACACACUCACGCGCUACCGCUUGUUGCUCCCCGCAGCCGCGACGUGGGGAAGUGAAAAUGAAAUUGACUUUUCCGAGAAAUGAUGAAAGCCGCGCUGCCCGCCAAUGAACAGCGGCGGCGAACUUCCGCACCUCCCGG